rnacentral:lncRNA from 1 species
GACUGAUUAACAGUGGGUUUGGGAGUAUGAUGGUUAUCUACCUUAUUUUCAGUUCUCGUUUCAAAGAAAUAAAUUCAAACAUUGUUUCUUGAUUUGAGAUUCUACUCAAAACUUGGCUGCUGUGUGUCUCAUGUGCAAACUGAUAUUCUCUGACCUGACAUCUAAAAGAAGGUUACUGCUCAGGACCAGCUGAUAGGAAUUCUUAUAAGGAACAGUUAAAAAACUGCAGCGCUGUGUAAAUGCUAAACACCAAUGAGAAUGAUACAGCGUGGGAGGAAAGGUUAACAAAUCCCAGUGCUGAGCACAACGGAAACACAACUAGGACACGGGACUGCCAGGCUGUGGAUGUUGUUGAUAGGAUUAACAGCAGGAGAAGAGAAAUGACUAACUCUGGUAGUAAGCAAAUGCAUGCUUAUCCAAGGUUCAUAAAGGACCUUUCUGGGUUAAAUUAAAAAGGAAAAGGAUCACACAUUUAGGUAUUUUAGCAGAGCAUAUAGUUUUAAACCUCUUAUUCAAAAUGGUCUUUUAUGAACAUCUUACUCAUGCUGCUAAGUCAAAGGACUUCAUGCUUAUGGGAGAGUUUAAUUAAAAGGACAUUUCCUAGAAAAAGAACAUACUAGAUCCUACAUAGUCAAAUAGGUUUUAAAAACAAUACAUUGGGGAAAUUUUUGAUACAGGUAUUUUAAGAAAGGUAAUAUUUUAGCAACCCAGAGCACUUGAUGACUAAUUAAAUGAUACAGAGAAUUCAUUCAAAGGUGGAGAGAGUGGCGAGACCAGUAAAAAGGCGAGUCAGGCAAGGCUUUGUGCGAGAAGCAAUGGCAAUCACCAUCGGGUGCCAUGGCAGGCAUUUCUUUUUAUAGAAACUAUUUCAUGGACUUCUUGAAAGAAAGGAUUUCACAGAUUGUGACACAGAACCUUAGUAAGGUAGUUCGUCUAAAGCUUUCCAGCUCAUCAGUGGUGGAGCUAGGACUUGAACGAGGCAGAUAGGUACUUCCCUGUAUGCCACCCUGUCUUCACUUGGACUGGGUAUGAUAAAUGAGAUUUAGUUAUAAGGUAGAGCUGCUUAUGAUGAAGCUUAGAACAUGAGGAGGGGACAAGGAGACAAAAAGGUACGUGAACGUGGUUGCUCAGCUCGCUCUUCACGCUGUGGUGAUGGAGCCUAAUAAUGAGUGUCCAGUCUAGAUUUACCAACCCAAGUCAUUUGACACCAAAAUAAAAUGCUCUUUCCACUACGUUU